rnacentral:rRNA from 1 species
AUGAUCAACAGGCGGACAGCUACCAAUGACAAGCUGUGCAAGCUGGAUAUGUUGUGCAUAAAGAUCAAUAGCGCAGUUGAGGCAUCUAAGAAGCACAGAAUCACCGGGACCUAUCUUCUCAAGUGGCAGGAGAAGCUGAAGGAAGCUGGCAUAGAGGGUGAUGAGGUACUUUUCGACUUCCGAUGGCGAGCCUUGACCGAAGCAAGAAAUAAGAUCAACCAAAAUAUAGGCACACUCGGUCCUCUAACUUACACAAAGAUUGUUGUGUCAAGUAUUGUAAAUUACUUCCAAAAUGCUACCAAGUUGCUCCUCUCAGCCAACAAGGAUGUGCAGAAGUUGAACAGCACAGUAGAAAUGUUGGAGAAGCUAUCGGCAGACAAUGGGGCGUUUUUGAGAUUGCUUGAGCUUCAGGUUUUGGCAGUAGAGGAGCAUGCACCUGCAAAAAGGAAAAGAAACCAGAGAUGUUGGAGAAGCCAUCGGCAAAUAAUGAGUUCUUGA